AUGAUACUGUCUAACUCAAAGUCUCUCUGUCAUAAACCUCGACGCUGUCAUCAACCUCGACGCUGCCAUCUUCAUCUCCAAACUGCCGCGAUUGAAACCCAGAAAAGGAAAGCCACGCUCCCAUCCCACCACCACCACCUCCAAAUUCCGGCGACCAGAUAACUCUGCAAAAUCCUCUGCACUAAAAAAGGACUGUUCUACUAAAUCCUCUCCCAAAUUCCGAUGAAACUGACGGCGAAUGCGAGCGAGAGUUCGAAGCCUUCACCUCCUUUUUAUUCUUCGCGUUCUCCAUGGCUUCUUCUUUGAACGCUCGAACGUCUACAACUGCAAGCGAUUUCUACAAGGAUUUGCAGCAAUCCCUUCAUUGUCAGGUGGGUCACCGCCGCGAUGCCUGAUUCAAGAAGUUGAGGUUCGAAAACGGUGCUCUCGCUGAAUCAAUUUCAUCGAUUUUGUUCCUAAUCUUGUAAAUUUGUUUAAUUUGUGAUUGAAUGAUUGGGUUCGGAAUUAUUAUCCUCUGCAAAUUUGUAAUUUUAUUUUAUCUAUUACAUUCGCACUCUUGUAAACCACGGAGAGGCCACUUGGAGGUGGUUCAACAGCCAGGUGACCGCAGAGUGAAGGCUCAGCCCCCCUCCGUUGCCUGAACCCCAUUAUGAGGAAAAUUGACUGAUGUUGUUCUUGGAUUUGACUUUGUGGAGCCCUAUGUGGUAAAGAUCUUUGAUUUUUGGUUCGCAUCCGCCGUCGUUGUUGUUGGUGUUCCGCAUCCAAGGACAGAGAGAGAGUGAUGCUCGAGGAGCACUCACGUUCUGGACGCUUGGGGAUUUUUUUUUUAUUUUUUAUUUUUUUAUUUUUUACAAUGUGAAGGAGAUAACAACAAUUUAACACUGUUAAAAUGGUGGACAGAUGUCACAAACCUAUUAAAGCCACAGAGAUGCCACAUCUAUUUGGGUGAUACAAAUACGUGGUAAUAGUAGAUUUUUGCUUAUUAAACGGCUGCUUGUUUAUCCUACUUUUCCUUAAGAUUUCUGGUGUAUCCUACUUUUUCUUGCAAGCAAGAGUGCUGUCUCGUGUCUAGCAUUCGCAAUGUCGCAUUUUGCCCCUGAAGAAAUCAAAGGCUCGCACGGUGGCCUCUUCUUGCUGCUAACAUCAACGGACUGUAUCCAUCGGCAUCAGAAGCACAUCAGAGCCCCUGCUUAUCAAUGUAUGAACAAAAUCUGUGGGGCCGUGUUGUGCUGCCUGAUGUAGAGUCCCAUAAAACUCAACAGGACUAUCAGGUACCUUUUGAGUUUUAUGUCAGCCCCAGUGUCGAUAAGCAAUUUGAAAGUUUGUAGGUAACCGCCCUCUGCAGCUAUCAUGGCAGCUGAGUAUCCCUUUUCAUCUUGCUCAUUGUGAUCAAUGCCUGCCCCCUCAAUCAGUUUCUUCAAAGCCUCAAUACCCUUUGCUUGACUCACAAGCAUUAGAGGAGAAAAUACUGAUGUAUCGCUUGAUUGAACCAUUUCACCGGAUCGAAUCACAUCUACAAGACUACAACUGCUUGUCGGAAGCCAAGAGCCCACCUUGCUGACUCUGCUAUUACGCUUGCACUAUGACCAGCAGAAUUCACCAGGCCAAAAUCAGCACCGUCUGAAGCCAGAAUUUUAAGGCUUCCUGGUGUUUAUAUCUAGCACAGAUCAUUUGUGCAGUUUGUCCAGAUUUUGUCUGAGAGUUGGUAUUGCACCCGGCACCAAUCAAUCAUUGGAGAAUCUUAUUUAAUCCAAGUCGUGACACCAUGUGAACGGGCCAGUCAGUUUCUGGAUUUGUUGUCUUAAUUGGAACUUCUACAUGUGCACCACAAUUUAACAGAACCUCUACCGCUCUUUCAUUGUUACAUGAUGAGAGUCCUCCCAAAGUGAGGAAUGUUCGGAGAGUGGUGUUGCAAGAGCUUGCGCAAGAUAACACUGUUGGCUUCAAAAUACUCCACAGCACACCAGGUCGCUCUGUAAGCCUCGGCUAGUCCUGCACCCACCCGAAACUCUUCUCCUGUAUUUACAUCCCAGGACCAGCCUCCAAGGCUCACUUUUAUAUCUGUUGUGGCUCCAGCCUGUUAUUUCGUUCCAAAAGGUACGUAACAUUAGAUAGGAAGUGUGUAACUAUAAGGGUAUGCAUACUAGCCAAUGAGUUAGGGAUACACCUGCAAGAGGAGUCUGGCAACAGAAAUUUGCUGGCUAACAAUGGCGGAAAUAAGCACAUUACAGUAAACAUUAGUGUGUAGGAAUGGCUUAGAUGAUUGAAGCGGCGCCCUGUCAGUUGCAUCUGCAUCCACCCCACACUGCCACCAAGAAAUAGUAUCACUGUCAUGGAACAAGAGUUAAAUGUUCCAAGCAAUUAAAACACACACACAUUUCGGUGAUGGCAAGUUGGCAACCUUGAUUGUACAUCACACUUAUUUAUGUUGAAGCAUACUUUAAGGCAA